CCUUGGGUAGUCUGCUUAGCUGCUGAAUUGCAUAAACUAGUCAUUGUCAAGGCCAGUUGUAUCUUCCUUGAGUAGACUAGAAUCCUAGUUGAGGUUAAUGGAUGUAUGUUAUUUCAAGACACUACUUGAUAAGAAAUUGCUAUGGAAAAGCACUGGAACAUCUUAAGAAAUUGGGAGGCGCAAUCUCUGGUGAAGCAGAACAUAUUCGCAAGUUAGAUAUGGUGCAGAAGCCCUCAGCCUUACACAAGCUGUUAUUGGACAUUAUGAAUCUGAGUUUCUCACAAAACACUUAAUGAUCCAUGUGAAUGUACAAUAUUUUGCAUAUAUAUUUGUAAAAAUUGUACACAGGAAACUCUCUUCAGUACAAACAUUGAAUUAAAACAUUGAGUUGCUGAUUUAAAAGGAUUACAUAAGUCUGCCUCAUUAAUAAAUUAUUAAUGAGGCAGAUCAAAGCAAUGUAGUUUUCACUGAAUACACUUUGUACAAAUGACAUUCCUUAAAUUGAUUACUGUUAAUGUAGUUUAGCUAAACAUAGACAUUAUAUCCUGAAAAGGCAUGACCAUGGUUUAUAUAUACUUUAUCACUUCUACUUUCUCCCUAUAUUGGCAAAAAGACAAAUUGGUGUAUUGGCAACAGAUUGGCAUUUAACCAAUAAAGCGUUAGUCUGAA